rnacentral:rRNA from 1 species
UUGAACCGCAUGGUUCAGACAUAUAAGGUGGCUUCGGCUACCACUUACAGAUGGACCCGCGGCGCAUUAGCUAGUUGGUGAGGUAACGGCUCACCAAGGCGACGAUGCGUAGCCGACCUGAGAGGGUGAUCGGCCACACUGGGACUGAGACACGGCCCAGACUCCUACGGGAGGCAGCAGUAGGGAAUCUUCCGCAAUGGACGAAAGUCUGACGGAGCAACGCCGCGUGAGUGAUGAAGGUUUUCGGAUCGUAAAGCUCUGUUGUUAGGGAAGAACAAGUGCCGUUCAAAUAGGGCGGCACCUUGACGGUACCUAACCAGAAAGCCACGGCUAACUACGUGCCAGCAGCCGCGGUAAUACGUAGGUGGCAAGCGUUGUCCGGAAUUAUUGGGCGUAAAGGGCUCGCAGGCGGUUUCUUAAGUCUGAUGUGAAAGCCCCCGGCUCAACCGGGGAGGGUCAUUGGAAACUGGGGAACUUGAGUGCAGAAGAGGAGAGUGGAAUUCCACGUGUAGCGGUGAAAAUGCGUAGAGAUGUGGAGGAACACCAGUGGCGAAAGGCGACCUCUCUGGGUCUGUAACUG